CUUUCUCCGUUUCUCUCGGCACUUGGGGAACCUCUGGCAGAGAGCUGGCCACCCAGCGCGCGCACGGAGCCCGCGCGCACUUCCGGAGUCUGAGUUCAGUAAAGGGGUGGGGGGUUGCGGAUUAGCCCCUAGAGAUUCCCUGGCCAUUGAGCCCCCGCUGAUUUGCGCAGCUAGUUCCCUGAGGGUGAUAAACCGGCGCCCGCUCUCUCUUGGAGCGCUCACCCUACCAAGCCCUUCCGAGCAAGAUUCAGAAAGGAUGCGCUUUGGGGCCGCAACACAUUUUCGCUGGGGGAUCUCUGGGUUCUUCUUCGCCUUUCAACUCUCAACUCCUAUGGGAAGAAAGACCUUUGAGUGUAUAGGCGGCUCCACUCUCUCAGCCCCACCCACAACACCGCUACUUUGAAGAGGACAAUCUGUUAGCUUCAGGAUAAAUCGGAUUGUGUCGCCGGCUGAAGUGGACCGAGCAGAACCAUGACUUAAGGAGGAGACAGUCUCGUUUUUAUCCAGUGUUAAAAUAAGGUCCUGGUUCAUCCCCCUCUAAUCCUACCUCCAAAGCACUAUACCAGCAAAGCCUCAGUUGUCCAGUUAAAAAAAAAAUCAAUUCAUGGUGAAAGGGAGAAUACACUGGAAGACAAGAGGAUGGCCAAUGAAACAGUGUGUGGAAACUUUUUCCUAAGCUUAUCAAUGUCACAUAGGGAGGUCUCAGGACAGGGCUGUGAGGGUUGGGGGAGGUAAAGAAUGGAACUUCACAGUGGGAUAUUGCAUUGCACAGCCUCACCUUGGAGAAUAAGAAACUAUCUAAGGGAUAACUCAGAGACAAGAAGAGGCAGACUUGCUGAGCUGGAAAAAGUUUACAGGGAUUGGGGGCACUUUGUUUUUUAUAAGUGUACAUGGUAAUCUCAGUUUGGGUCUAUUCCUUGCGUAAGUAUUACAGUUGGUUCAUCAGGUGAUAAAUGAAUAUUUCCCAGGCUGGUCCUGGCAUAGCCAGACUCUCAAAGGAUGGAUAAUUUGGUAGCCUGGGAGAAGGGACUCCAGUCUCCCAAGUUCAGGGAUCAUUACUCCUGACUCACAUUGUUCUUGCUUCAG